UCCGUAGGUGAACCUGCGGAAGGAUCAUUACCUAGAGUUUGUGGGCUUUGCCUGCUAUCUCUUACCCAUGUCUUUUGAGUACUUACGUUUCCUCGGUGGGUUCGCCCGCCGAUUGGACAAUUUAAACCCUUUGCAGUUGCAAUCAGCGUCUGAAAAACAUAAUAGUUACAACUUUCAACAACGGAUCUCUUGGUUCUGGCAUCGAUGAAGAACGCAGCGAAAUGCGAUAAGUAGUGUGAAUUGCAGAAUUCAGUGAAUCAUCGAAUCUUUGAACGCACAUUGCGCCCCUUGGUAUUCCAUGGGGCAUGCCUGUUCGAGCGUCAUUUGUACCUUCAAGCAUUGCUUGGUGUUGGGUGUUUGUCUCGCCUUUGCGUGUAGACUCGCCUUAAAACAAUUGGCAGCCGGCGUAUUGAUUUCGGAGCGCAGUACAUCUCGCGCUUUGCACUCAUAACGACGACGUCCAAAAGUACAUUUUAACACUCUUGACCUCGGAUCAGGUAGGGAUACCCGCUGAACUUAAGCAUAUCAAUAAGCGGAGGA
rnacentral:rRNA from 1 species